rnacentral:lncRNA from 1 species
GUGGGGCAGAGCCAUGGAGUGCAGCUAUGGGGCAGCGCUAUUGGGCAGGGUCCCACUUGUGGGGCAGGGCUUCACUUAUGGGUCAGAGCUUCACGUACUUAUGGGGCAGCGCCCCACUUAUGGGUCACAGUCCCACUUAUGGGUCAGUCUGUGUGGGUUAAUGCCCUACUUAUGGGGCAGAGCCCCACUUAUGGGUCAGAUCCCACUUAUGGGUCAGUUUGUAUGGGGUGGCGCUGUGGGGCAGAGCCAUGGAGGGUCGCUAUGGGGCAGAGCCCCACUUAUGGGGCAGUCUGUGUGGGUUAAUGCCCUACUUAUGGGGCAGAGCCCCACUUGUGGGGCAGAG